CUACGGGGCGCUCCAGUAACGAAUAUUGGGCAAUGGGCGCAAGCCUGACCCAGCAAUGCCGCGUGCAGGAGGAAGCCCCUCGGGGUGUAAACUGCUGUCAGGUUCUAGCAAGCAAAGAGGGUUAACAGCCCUCCGCGUUGAGCAGAUCCAAAGGAAGCCUCGGCUAACUCUGUGCCAGCAGCCGCGGUAAGACAGAGGAGGCAAGCGUUGUUCGGAAUCAUUGGGCUUAAAGCGGAUGUAGGCGGCUUGGCAAGUGUCCCGUGAAAUCCCCCGGCUCAACCGGGGAACUGCGGGGCAAACUGCCUGGCUUGAGGUCGGUAGAGGCGCCUGGAACUCUAGGUGGAGCGGUGAAAUGCGUAGAUAUCUAGAGGAACGCCUGUGGCGAAAGCGGGGCGCUGGGCCGAUUCUGACGCUGAGAUCCGAAAGCGUGGGGAGCAAACAGGAUUAGAUACCCCUGUAGUC
rnacentral:rRNA from 1 species